GUGGGUGUAGCUCAGUUGUAGAGUGCGUGCUUAGCAUACAUGAGGUCCUGGGUUCAAUCUCCAGUACUUUCA
rnacentral:tRNA from 1 species